ACACACACACACACACACACACACACGUCACUUCAUUUACACAGGAUCUUGUCUGGUGGUGGUGGUGGUGGUGGUGGUGGUGGUGACUAGACAUAUUAGGUAAGUGAAGAUGAUGAUGGAAAUAUAAAUAGAAAAUGUAUAGUAACAUGAUUGAUAUAAAUAAGAAAGAAAGACGAAGAGAAAAAAAUUAUAAAAAGAAAUGGACGAGAUGAGGCAUGAUAAAUGAAAGAAAGACGUAAGAGAAUUAAAUUGUAUCAUUAAAAUGAUAUGUUAACCAUCUAUUAUUUAUUUAUACAAUAUAUUUUUGUUAUCUGUGUUAAAGAAAAUGUAAGUUGUGUUUUGUUGGAAUGGGAGAAGUUUGGUACGCUUCUUUGUGGUGUUUUGUUUCACCCACUACCUGUGAACAUGGUCGGCCUGGCGGGUUGUCUAAGCCGGCCCACCAAUGUACUGUGGGUUGUUGUGUUGGGUGGUCCUCUGUGCUACAGACGGAGAAUGUAGGGACGCCCUGGACCUCUCAUGUCGGUUGGUGUGUUGGUUGGUCCUCCGUGCUACAGACAGAGUUGUGAGGACGCCCUGGACUGGAUGAUAGUUGGGGUGACAUGUCAGGUGUGCUACGGGGAUUCGAAGAGCGUCAGUGUGGGCCACUGAAGUGAGUACAUUAUGGGAAUUUAUUGAGUAUUAUGAGUGAUAUACAAGUGAAGUUUAGUUGGAUUUUGUAUACUGAUUGUUGCUUUAUUUUUAUAUUUGGGAUAUGAUUGUAACGGAUGUCAGAAUCUCUACAUGGUGUUAUUUUCUUGGUACCAUUGUGAGGGAUUG